GACGAACGCUGGCGGCGUGCUUAACACAUGCAAGUCGAACGAAGUGGCGAACGGGUGAGUAACGAGUAAUCAACCUGCCCUUCAGCGGGGGACAACAGUGGGAAACGACUGCUAAUACCGAAUACGGAAGGCGGGGAGGGCGUGUGAUGAGCUAGUGGGAGGGGUAAAGGCCAACCAAGGCUAUGAUCAGUAGCCGGUGUGAGAGUAGGUACGGCCAAAUUGGGACUGAGACACGGCCCAGUCUUCUUCGGGAGGCAGCAGUGGGGAAUCUUCCGCAAUGGACGAAAGUUUGACGGAGCAACGCCGCGUGGGUGAUGACGGCCUUCGGGUUGUAAAGCUCUGUUAAUCGGGACGCGGUACCGGAAUAGAAAGCCACGGCUAACUACGUGCCAGCAGCCGCGGUAAUAC
rnacentral:rRNA from 1 species